GCGGGUCCGGGUCCGGGUGGGGGGACGGACGGUGUUUGUAUCUGGAGAGAGGCAGAGGCAGGUUCCUCCGAGGGGUCAGGGCAGGGGGAGGGGGAGCGUAUGUGUGCGCAUCCCAGCCGAGUACCUACCCGCUCUGCCCUCCAGAGCCGUGCACAGGAAGCAGGGUGGGGAGGAGAGCCGUCCAUCAGCGGCGUCUGAUCUGUGGGCGUCUGGCUGGAGACCAGCGUCCUCCCCGCUGGAGGAUUACUCUGUGUCGGGCCCGUGGACCUAACGUUCUAACACGUGGUGAAAUGAUCCCAUGGUGGGAGAUUUAAGACCACCUUUCGGAGCCCGAGGAGCAACAGGCUGGGAGAGAAGUCACUCGUCCAGCUCCUACUUAGGGAGCACCUGUCACACAUCAUGAGCUGUAUCAGGCGCAGGGGCUGCAAACAAGACAUGGUCCCCGCCCGCAGAGGGUCUACUGUCUUCUAGUGAAAACGGACCCGGACGCUGAGUGAAGGGAUAGUCUUACAGAUGAACCCUCACCAACCUGGAGCCAUAGCUCACAAACAAGAGUUG